GCCUGGGUGGCUCAGUCGGUUAAGCAUCUGACUUCGGCUCAGGUCAUGAUCUCACGGUCCGUGAGUUCGAGCCCCGCGUCGGGCU
rfam:Felis catus isolate Cinnamon breed Abyssinian chromosome B4, whole genome shotgun sequence.